CUGGGUUUUUGGGGUAAAAUUAGGGGCUUCGGCUUAUAUUCGGGUCGGCUUAUACUCGAGUAUAUACGGUACAUGUCUUCAUAUAUUUUUUCCCGGGCUAAGUGGACUCUACUGAAAGGCAAUAAAACCAUCAGGGUCCAUUCACAUGUUCAGGAUUUGAGAGAAUUGCAGAGCAAAUUCUGCUCUUAAAGGGGUUAUCCAGGAAUAGAAAAACGUUAGCCCCCAAGACAAGCACAGAUCCUUCCUAAGCAUGUCCAUUACUGUCUGCCAGAUUACAGGAGGAAAUGCAGGUCUGGAGCACAACAUGCGGCUAAGAUAAAGGAUGAGAAAACUACAUGUGCCUACUGGACAUGGAGGAUACUUCUGUCUAGUGUACUGACUGCAUCACUCCAGAUAAUGGAGCGAACGAUGGUCUCAGCGCGGGUGCGUAGGAAAGGAGAGAUAUUUUAUGGUCUGCUUUAUCGGGGACAAUUUUGGUUUCGACACUGAUCCCAAUGCCAGUAUCGGACAUGCUGGGAGUGGUAGUGUCAGCCGGAGAACAACACGUUGCAGAUCCCUCACCUAGCCCCAUCCAUUCACUACAGAAGGGGAUAAGAUCGCUUACAUGGAGAGAAAGCUUAUGGUAAUGAAAUUAGUGUUUUGCUGAAAUAAAAGUAGAUCAUUCACGGAAUAACUUUGCGGAGAAGGAGGCAGGAGCCAAUAAAGUGACAACAAGGCAGACAUAAAGC